GACGAACGCUGGCGGCGUGCUUAACACAUGCAAGUCGAGCGGGAAGGCCACUUCGGUGGUACUCGAGCGGCGAACGGGUGAGUAACACGUGAGUAAUCUGCCCUUGGCUUUGGGAUAGCCACCGGAAACGGUGAUUAAUACCGGAUACGACCACUCCAGGCAUCUGGUGGUGGUGGAAAGUUUUUCGGCCAGGGGUGUGCUCGCGGCCUAUCAGCUUGAUGGUGAGGUAAUGGCUCACCACGGCUUCGACGGGUUGCCCGCCUGAGAGGGGGACCGGUCACACUGGGGGUGAGACACGGCGCCCACUCCUCCGGGGGGGAGAGGUGGGGAAAAUAGGGGACUGGGCGGGAGACUCAUCCAGAGACGCCGUGUGUGCGAUAACGGCCUUCGGGGUGUAAACCUCGUUCGCAAGGGACGAAGAGCAAGUGACGGUACCUACUAAAGAAGCGACGGCCAACUACGUG
rnacentral:rRNA from 1 species